rnacentral:rRNA from 1 species
AUUGAACGCUGGCGGCAUGCCUUACACAUGCAAGUCGAACGGCAGCACGGGUGCUUGCCCCUGGUGGCGAGUGGCGAACGGGUGAGUAAUACAUCGGAACAUGUCCUGUAGUGGGGGAUAGCCCGGCGAAAGCCGGAUUAAUACCGCAUACGAUCUACGGAUGAAAGCGGGGGACCUUCGGGCCUCGCGCUAUCGGGUUGGCCGAUGGCUGAUUAGCUAGUUGGUGGGGUAAAGGCCUACCAAGGCGACGAUCAGUAGCUGGUCUGAGAGGACGACCAGCCACACUGGGACUGAGACACGGCCCAGACUCCUACGGGAGGCAGCAGUGGGGAAUUUUGGACAAUGGGCGAAAGCCUGAUCCAGCAAUGCCGCGUGUGUGAAGAAGGCCUUCGGGUUGUAAAGCACUUUUGUCCGGAAAGAAAUCCUUGGCCCUAAUACGGUCGGGGGAUGACGGUACCGGAAGAAUAAGCACCGGCUAACUACGUG